rnacentral:lncRNA from 1 species
GGGCAGAUGGCGCCUCCCAGCCACACAGACAGCUGUGAUUCUGAGGAGAGAGUCCUGACUCUCUCUCCACUUAGAUGGCAGAAUGUCUGAUUGAUGAUUUCCUACAGCCUUCUUUCUGCCUCAGUUUCUCAUUUGAAAACAGGAACAAAAUCAUUGUGAAGAUGGACCUCCCAAGUACCGCAUGGAAUCGCCAGCCAGCAUGUGGAACUAUACCUGGCUCUCCUCCUCUCCUGCCCCUGUUCCUUCUCACCCCAUCAUCCCUCCUGAGCCAGUUCUAACAUAAGAGAAAGAAGCAUUUGAAUAUUGCAACCUGCGGCCCAGCACCCAAGUUCACACGAGGUCACUGGCUCGAGCCUGAAGUCAUCCGAGGCCUCUGCACUUCACGGACCAGAGUAUUUUUCUUUCCUAUCCUAGAGAUUAUCCUAAGGGAGGCAGACAGCCAUAAUAAUAUUUCAGGGCUUUUUCCUGACACCAUAGCCUUUGAAGAUGAUAGCCCAAAUGUCUACACAAAUCCUUAAGCUAAAAAAAUAAAUAUAAAAGUGUGUUACA